CCUGGCGGUAGGCUUAACACAUGCAAGUCGUGCGAGAAAAUAUCUUCGGAUAUGAGUAGAGCGGCGAACGGGUGAGUAACGCGUAGGAAUGUACCUAGUAGAAGGGGAUAGCCCGGGGAAACUCGGAUUAAUACCGUAUACCUCCUUUGGGAGAAAGAAGGCCUCUCUUUGAAGCUUUCGCUAUUAGAUCAGCCUGCGUAAGAUUAGCUUGUUGGUGAGGUAAUGGCUCACCAAGGCUACGAUCUUUAGCUGGUCUGAGAGGA
rnacentral:rRNA from 1 species